rnacentral:lncRNA from 1 species
GGAGCUGGGUUCGAGCGCUGGGGCUGCGGUUGGGAAACUACUGGAGGAUGUGGUGCACCAGAAUAAGAGAAUAAACCAAGAAACAGGAAGACGUGAUCCAGGCAACAGGAUAUUCCAGUAUAGUGUUGGAAACAGAAGCCCAGUAGUGAAAGCUACAGCUGCCAUAUACUUGCAGUGGAAUCACAGGAGCAAUCACAGGUCUUUAUGUGAAGGAGCAAAGAGAAGGAGCCAGAAGCUAGAGGGGGCUGCUUGGUAAGAGCUGUGGUCUUUGCUAAAGGGACACAGACAACCCAUGUGACCUGGCAAUGAGAAAGCCAGAGUACUCUGACCAUCUCUUCCUUAUAUCUUCUCAUCUUCUUUGGAUAUUAAUAAUUGGAUAAACAGAAGCUGAAGUCAGAGGGCAAGGGAGCCAUUCAUGCUGCAGUCCAUGUGGGUCAGCACCCGCUGGGGUCCAGAGUGGGAUGAAGAGGGGUUCUGAAAGGCAAAUGGAAGACAUCUAGUAUAACCUCUCCCUGAACGUAAUUCAAACUACUUAACUAUUAUUACAGACAAAAAUCACAUGUAUGCUGAAAGUAAAAUAACCUGUUUCCAGAAUUUCUGAUUGCAAAAUUCUGAGUUCUUCAAUUAAACCUGCAUUUUUCUCAGUCUUUUUGGUGCCCCUGCUUCACUGGUGCCUUAAGAACAUUUGAGAGCCUAAGGGCAGCCCUGAGCAUGGUGCCUGAACUAGGGUGCCUCAAAACUAGGGACUGAGGAAGUCUCAAGUUCAUUCCUGAAUGCUGACUAUAAGAGUCUCUGAGAGAGUUUUGAGAAUGUAGAACUGAUUUAGAAUGAAUCUCAGGAUUUUUCUGUUAAGAUCUAUAAAUUAGGAAUUAAGGAACUGGAUUUUUUUUGAAUUUGAAAAAUCCUAUGAUAGUAUAACUUUGCAUAAGCCUACUGAAUGAUAGGAAAGUUUUUAGUUUCUUAUCAAAGAAAGAGAAUAAAGUGAAUCAGGACAUCAGUUUCACAUUGACAUUUUUAUUAACGCCAACUGUUUUUUAAUUAUUUUUUUAAAACAAUAGCACAAAAAUGUUUCAAGGAAGCAGUCUCACAAUCUGAUGACCUUCUGAAAUACCGUUAAGCCACACCAAAUAUGAAUUUCUGUUAAUAACACAAAAUAUUUUUUUAAGAAAAAAAGAAAAAAAAGGUAGGGAAAGAAGAAGGGAAUGAGAUUUAGAUUUAAAACUCAUUGGAUUAAAUAGGUGAGGCUUAUUAGGAUAUACUGUUGAAGCAAACAGUGGCACACACAGGCUUACAGUCUUUGUUUUUUAAACCAGUUACCACUAAUGUAUUAAGCCCUGCAGCAGUUACCACUGACUUCUCGCACGCAUAAAAUGAACCGGGAGAAGCCAGUGUUGAUACUGUUGUGAAGAGGUUCAAGAGCUGGCUUUUCAGACAACUAAGACCAUUUUUAGCAGAAUAACUCCUUCAGAAAGGCCUGGCUGAAGAUCUUUUUAUUUCUAUUGUCUCACCUAUAUAAAUUUCAGGGUUCUUAUAAGUCAUCUUUAAAAAGAAAAAAAUAAUGUAUAUCAGUUUCUCUUAUUUAAUGUGGCUAUGAAAGAUGUUUCCUUAUUAUUUCUUCAUCUCUAAGAAGGACACCAGGGAAUGGGGGUUGGGGGUGGAACUAAAGGGAGGAAAAAAACCAGAACAGGGUAGGUUUUUGUUUUUUGCUUUUUGUUUUUUUUUGGCCAAGGGGUCGGUCACACAGAAGGGAAGGCAAGGAGGAAAACUAAACUACAAUCCUUGGUUCAGAUUGAGUUAUGCAGGAAUAUAUCUUCCUGAUCAGUCCCCGUGCCAAAAAAAAAAAAAGCCACUUGGAAUUAUGCACUGACUCCAACUAUGUGAUACCAGCUAUCAGCCUUUUGUGUUUAACCAUUCCCAGAAAUGGACACCACCCUUGGCUUUAUAGGCUCCUUGCAGAACCCACUUCACAAAAAUGCUCUUCACCAAGAAGCCUCUAGUUUCCUUUUGGUAGGUUAUAAAAACAGAACAUCUGUCAUUAACAGUAGAGUGUUAAAUACUUUUAACCACUGACAAGGCUUCAGAAAGUUUCACAGUUUCGUUAUGCUCUAUUUUAUUACUAUCAUAUUUACAUUUUUAUUUUUUAUUUAUUUUUUGCUGAAUUGCUGAUUUUCCUUUUUCAAUAGAAUUUAAUUCUGGAGUGUGAGCAGGAACCAGUUAACUACAUUCAUUGUCCAACCCCCACUGGUUUGAAAGAAGACUCCAAAUUCUUGGCAUAUGAAUCAGCUGUUCGGUAGCUCCACCUUAUCCCUGCAGCGAAGCAGCAGAACCGCCAAUGGCGGCACCUCAGGAUUCACACUGUGGGUGGUGAGGCCUUCCGCUGAAGGAGGUACUGGUGGAUGCUCUCAGCAUCUCGCUUUAGCCAGGCAGCAUUCAGCAGAAUAUUUUCACAACACUGCUGGAUGGUACGCUCAGCUGAAGGAGCUGGGUGACUCUCGAAGAAAGCCUGGUAUAAAACAACCCAGAAUGCAGGAUCAUUACUAGCAAUAAGAAGUUAAUAUUACAGGUUAUGAAAAAAUACCCACUGGUCUAUAUGAAGGAUGCAUAAUCUUCAGGCAUGAGAAUUUACCACUGCCACCCUCAGGCUAAAAGAAAACAAGCAACUCCUUGGACCUGCAUAUAGGAAUUCUCCCCUUAAUUAUAUGCUUAACAACCUAAUCAAAAGUUAAUAAAGAGACAGAACCUAC